GAUGAACGCUGGCGGCGUGCCUAAUACAUGCCAGUCGAGCGAACAGACGAGGAGCUUGCUCCGCUGACGUUAGCGGCGGACGGGUGAGUAACACGUGGAUAACCUACCUAUAAGACUGGGAUAACUUCGGGAAACCGGAGCUAAUACCGGAUAAUAUCUUGAACCGCAUGGUUCAAUAGUGAAAUACGGUUUUGCUGUCUCUUAUAGAUGGAUCCGGGCCGCAUGAGCUAGUUGGUGAGGUCACGGCCUACCACGGCGACGAUGCGUAGCCGACCUGAGAGGGUGAUCGGCCACACUGGAAGGGAGACACGGUCCAGACUCCUGCGGGAGGCAGCAGUAGGGAAUCGGACGCAAUGGGCGAAAGCCUGACGGAGCAACGCCGCGUGAGUGAUGAAGGUCUUCGGAGCGUAAAGCUCUGUUACGAGGGAAAAACAAAUGUGUAAGUAAAUAUGCACGUAGUGACGGUACCGAAUAAGAAAGCCCCGGCUAACUACGUG
rnacentral:rRNA from 1 species